rnacentral:rRNA from 1 species
UACGUAGGGUGCAAGCGUUAAUCGGAAUUACUGGGCGUAAAGCGUGCGCAGGCGGUUUUGUAAGUUUGUCGUGAAAUCCCCGGGCUCAACCUGGGAACUGCAUUUGUGACUGCAAGGCUAGAGUACGGCAGAGGGGGAUGGAAUUCCGCGUGUAGCAGUGAAAUGCGUAGAUAUGCGGAGGAACACCAAUGGCGAAGGCAAUCCCCUGGGCCUGUACUGACGCUCAUGCACGAAAGCGUGGGGAGCAAACAGG